GCUAAACUGCUUGGGGGAUGGUUUGGUUUGAGAGCCGACGAAGGACGUGCCAAGCUGCGAAAAGCCUCGGGGAGGCGCAUGGAGCCAUAGAUCCGAGGAUGUCCGAAUGGGACUUCCCGUUUUUAACACUCCGAAAGGAGAGGGUACCUAGGGAAUUGAAACAUCUUAGUACCUGGAGGAAGAGAAAUCAAUUGAGAUACCGUUAGUAAAGGCGAUCGAAAGCGGUACAGGGCAAACCGAAUGCUUUGUAGUAAUAUAGAGUAAAUGUGGAGUUUGGGCCUUUUCCAAUACCUACCUGACGAAUCCUAAUCUGAUCGAAAGCAGAGCCGGAGCGGGUGAUAGCCCCGUUGGAGUAAGUCAAGAGGUUACGAGAGAAGUGUCCCAGAGUAUUGUGCGUCGUAAUUCGCGCAAGAAUAUGGGUGGCACUAACAUCCAACCCUAAAUACAUCUCAAAUCCGAUAGCGAACAAGUAUCGUGAGAGAAAACUGAAAAGCAACCCGAAAGGGUAGUGAAAAGAACCUGAAACCAAGCAGUGAUAAACUUACAGGGCACGAAAGGGAUGAUACCAUUAACCAUGGUGGACUGGUGUUCUGUUGUCCGUGUUGAAGAACGGGCCAGGGAGUUUCGACGAAUGGCAAGGUUAAUCUUUAAAAGAGUAGCCGUAGCGAAAGCGAGUAUCCGCACAGCAAUGGAGGGAUAGCGUAACUAAUGCGUAAGUCAUUUGUGGAAGACCCGAAGCCGGUCGAUCUACGCCUGAGUAGGUUGAAGUUCAGCGAAAGCUGGAUGGAGGACCGAACCAGUACUGAUGUGCAAAUCGUUUGGAUAACUUGGGUGUAGGGGUCAAAGGCCAAUCUAGGCCGGCAAUAGCGGGUUCCCCCCGAUACUACCCGUAGGUAGACUUCGGCAGAGAUGCUUGGCGAGGUAGAGCGACCGAAUAGAAGGUUAGCAGUCGAAAGACUGCGCCAUCUUAUCGAACUCCGAACUUGUCAAGAUCGUAGAAGCCGGAUGCUAGGGCACAGGGAUAAGCUCUGUGCCCGUGAAGGGAACAUCCUAGACAGGGGUUAAGGUCCCUAAAACUGACUAAGUGCGAAUUAAAGGGGUUUGUGGCCGAAGACAGUGUGGAGGUUGGCUUAGAAGCAGCCAUCCUUUAAAGAGUGCGUAACAGCUCACUCACCGAGGCUACAUGUCCCGAAGAUGGAAGGGGCUAAAGUCAGUUACCGAGACCUCUGAGCAUCGCAAGAUGAUCUGGUAGGGGGGCGUGCCGCAUGGACGGAAGUUUCUUCGAGAGGAGGAAUGGACCGUGUGGUAUCGUGGAUCCUGGUAAAAGUAGCAGAAUAGAAUUGUGAGAAUCAAUUCCGCCGAAAGGGCUAAGGGUUCCUUGGCAAUGUUCGUCAGCCGAGGGUUAGUCGAUCCUAAGGUGAUCCCUAACAGGAAAUCACCGAAAGGGAAGCUGGUUAAUAUUCCAGCACCUUAGACGUUUUGCCAUAUGGUUUAACUUCGAGAUAUUGGGAGUACGGGUACCAACGUAUUUGACAGUAUAAUCUGGUGGAGAGUCGUAAUGACGAGAAGCUGGAGAAAACUUACAGGUCCCCAUACGGGGAUUCCUUAAAUUCUUGGAGUCUGUGAAAAGGCUAUAUGGGUCAGGUCUAAGUUCGUACCAAGAACCGACACAGGUGCCCCUGGAUGAAAAGUCCAAGGCGUUUGGGAAUAAUGGACGCGAGGGAACUCAGCCAAAUAGCUCCGUAUCUUAGGUAGAAGGAGUGCCUAUUCCGAGAGGGAAUAGGUCGCAGUGGCAAGGGGACCCCGACUGUUUACCAAAAACACAGAUCGCUGCUAGUCGGAAACGAUGUGUAUAGCGGUCGAAACCUGCCCAGUGUCGGUACCUGAAAGUCUCGUACAAGGGAAAGAAGGGCCGAUAAACGGCGGGGGUAACUAUGACCCUCUUAAGGUAGCGUAAUACCUAGCCGCUUAAUUGGCGGCUUGCAUGAAGGUUCAACGUGAGUCCCACUGUCCCCGCGUUCAGCCCCGUGAAAUUGAUGCACUGGUGCACAAUCCAGUCUCUCCCACAUGAAAGCGAAGUCCCCGUGGAGCUUUACUGCAGCCUGUGGCUGCGAUGCGGUUAUUAUUGCGUAGAGUAGGAAGGAGCUGUUAAUGCCUGGGUUCUGGCUCAGGUGGAGGCACCGCUGAAACACUUCCCUUUAAUAACUGCGUCGCUAACCUCGAAAGAGGGACACCUAUUGGUGGGCAGUUUGGGUGGGGCGCCACGCCCCUGAGAAUUUAACAGGGGCCCCCAAUGGUUAGCUCAGGAGGGUCAGUAAUCCUCCGUAGAGUGUAAGGGCAAAAGCUAGCUUGACUGUGUUCCGGACAAUAAGGAACGCAGAUGCGAAAGCAGGGCCUAACGAACCACCCUGUCCCCCUUUAGUGGGGGCGGGUGAUAAGAGAGAAGUUACCCCAGGGAUAACUGAGUUGUCCUCGGCAAGAGUUCAUAUCGACCCGAGGGUUUGCUACUUCGAUGUCGUCUGUUCCUAUCCUGGUGCUGAACAAGGUGCCAAGGGUGGGGCUGUUCGCCCAUUAAAAGGGAUCCUGAGAUGGGUUCACUACGUCGCGAGACAGUAGGGUUGCUUCUCUGUGGGAGUGCUCGAUGUCUGAAGGGAAGGAGCCUUUAGUACGAGAGGAACGGGGGUUCGUGACCUCUGGUUUACCGGUUGUCUGGUAAGGCAUUUGCCGGGUAGCCACGUCAUACGCGAAUAAAAGCUGAAAGCAUCUAAGCUUGAAGUCGCCCCUGAAAAUAGACAUCGUUAUUAGGUCUCUCCUAAAAGAGGAGUUUGAUAGAACUGGGAUAUAAGUACCGAGCUUCGGCGAGGUAUUCAGUCCACAGUUACUAAUAGACCGAAUGCACAAUC
rnacentral:rRNA from 1 species